AUUGAACGCUGGCGGCAGGCUUAACACAUGCGAGUCGAGCGGGGGAAGGUAGCUUGCUACCGGACCUAGCGGCGGACGGGUGAGUAAUGCUUAGGAAUCUGCCUAUUAGUGGGGGACAACAUCUCGAAAGGGAUGCUAAUACCGCAUACGUCCUACGGGAGAAAGCAGGGGAUCUUCGGACCUUGCGCUAAUAGAUGAGCCUAAGUCGGAUUAGCUAGUUGGUGGGGUAAAGGCCUACCAAGGCGACGAUCUGUAGCGGGUCUGAGAGGAUGAUCCGCCACACUGGGACUGAGACACGGCCCAGACUCCUACGGGAGGCAGCAGUGGGGAGUAUUGGACAAUGGGGGGAACCCUGAUCCAGCCAUGCCGCGUGUGUGAAGAAGGCCUUAUGGUUGUAAAGCACUUUAAGCGAGGAGGGGGCUACUUUAGUUAAUACCUAGAGAUAGUGGACGUUACUCGCAGAAUAAGCACCGGCUAACUCUGUGCCAGCCGCCGCCGUAA
rnacentral:rRNA from 1 species